rnacentral:lncRNA from 1 species
GAGUAAUAACCCUAUAAUCAAGAAUUCAACAUUAAAAAACAAAUCACGUGACGCAAAUUUACUCAAAAAGUUUUCAUUAUAAAAAUGUGUCAAGGUAAGAUUACUUUUAACAUAAUCCAGAGUUGAAAUCAUAAAUAAUUUCAAUAUACUUGAUAGCAAAAGUAUUAUUUAAUUUGAUUAUCUUUUUCAAUCAAAGUUUGCAAUAUGAGGACAUUAAUUUGCAAAUAAAAUAAGUAAUUUGAGAUAUGUAACAGUCCGGGAGAGUGAUAAACAUAUGUUUGAGGGGAGGAAUGAAUUGUUUACUUCCAAUGAAUUUACAUUAUUCCGCACACCUAAGUCCGAUACACGUGUCAAACAGGGUACAACAUAAAAUAUGAUCAAUAAUCACAAGUUGUGAGUUGUGGGGACAAAUUUUUUUUGUUUUUUUUUGACAUAUGUUAGUAGGAGCCUUCCAAGACUAUCCGAAGUUAAUUAAAGCCGUGAUUGUAUUCAUGGGUACAAUAAUGGAAGAGUAUUGUAAUUUACUUAUGAAAGGACUAUUAAGUAUUAGCAGAACAAUUGGACCUUUAUUCCUUAAAUGAACUUGAAUACAAACAAAUGCCCGGCUUUCCAAAUUUCAAGAGAAAAGAAAAAAGGACAAUUGAAAGGAAAGGAAUGGAAUGGACCUAAAAUGAAGGAUUUUCUAAUGAUAUUACUGGCAUAAAGGAUCCGAUGAGCGUAAAUAUGGCCCAAAUGAAGACCCCAAUGGCCAUAAUCAAACGCCGAGAGUGACGAUCUCCCAAAUACCCAAAAAGAGGAGCAAAUAUCAUGUACGUUAUUACAAAUGCGGUUUGAAGGGCUCCGGCCUUUGCAUCCGCAAUAUCGUACUCAUCUUUGAUAUUCUCCAGGAUUCCGGCAACAGUGAAGCGGUCCAUGUAGUUGAUGAGAUUCACGAAGAAGAGAAUGGAAACAUAGCGCCACUUUUUGGAAUGUUGACGGCUCUUGAUACCCUCCGCCUCAUGAUCACCAAGGGCAUUUCCUUGGUUUACUAACUCCUGGCUCGAAGGAUUUUGUGGAAAAGGGAGAAGAACUUUCAUUAUAUUUUUAUCUUCUAGCAUGAUUUUUUAUUAUCUAUCAGUAUCUCCCACUUCAACGUUCAAAUUUCAACUUCAUUCAGUUAAAAAAAAAAAAAGAGUAUUAACUCUAACUGAAAAGAAUUGCACACGCCCAAUGCCGAGCACGCCUCAGGAGAAAAGGAGGAGUCUCAGAAAUCGUACGAUACUCUUUCUAAUACACUAAAUGUUUCCCUUAACUUUCCUUUAAUUUAGCAGCUCUCAUCACACCAUCGAACCAUCAUUGCCGCUUCUUAUUAAUUAAUAAUCAUGAUAAUUCAUACUAUUUGUAUAUAUUAAUUAUUAUGUACGAGUAUACUCCUUCUAAUAAUAAAAUACACAUCUCUAACGUA